GAGGGUAUAGCUCAAGCAGUAGAGUGCAUGCUUAGUAUGCGUGAGGUCCUGGGGUCAAUCCCCAGUACUUUCU
rnacentral:tRNA from 1 species